rnacentral:rRNA from 1 species
GACGAACGCUGGCGGCGUGCCUAAUACAUGCAAGUAGAACGCUGAAGGAGGAGCUUGCUUCUCUGGAUGAGUUGCGAACGGGUGAGUAACGCGUAGGUAACCUGCCUGGUAGCGGGGGAUAACUAUUGGAAACGAUAGCUAAUACCGCAUAACAGUAGAUAUCGCAUGACAUCUACUUGAAAGGUGCAAUUGCAUCACUACCAGAUGGACCUGCGUUGUAUUAGCUAGUUGGUGAGGUAACGGCUCACCAAGGCGACGAUACAUAGCCGACCUGAGAGGGUGAUCGGCCACAAUGGGACUGAGACACGGCCCAGACGCCUACGGGAGGCAGCAGUAGGGAAUCUUCGGCAAUGGACGGAAGUCUGACCGAGCAACGCCGCGGGAGUGAAGAAGGGUUUCGGAUCGUAAAGCUCUGUUGUAAGAGAAGAACGAGUGUGAGAGUGGAAAGUUCACAAUGUGACGGUAUCUUACCAGAAAGGGACGGCUAACUACGUG